AAAAAAAGCUUUUUUUUCUAAAUAGUUUUUUUUCCUUUUUGUGAUCAUGCUGAUUUCUGUACCCUGAGGUUUCUACUCCCACUUAUUCUGAUGAUGGGUAAAUUACUAUAGCAGUAACUUAGACCAGCAUUUUGAACUCAAGCAUUAAUUUGUGCCUCAUUUUAUUCUUCAGGUACCUCUUCAAAACCUUAAGAAAUCUGUAAGCAGUAAGUUUUUUGAGGGAUUGAAAAUGCCAUUUGAAAAUCUAUUCCAUGGGGUGUGUCUCCAGAAAGGUGAAUAUUCUCACAUAAAGAGAAAAUGUUUAUACACAAUUUCAUCAGGUUCAAAGGCUCCCUGAAGCUUAUUAACCGCAGGUUAAAUAUUUCUGUUGUGAGACAAAUAAACCGUAGGCCAACCUAGAACUACGGAGUUUAUACAGAAAAUGUGGCUGAGCGAGGUGCCUGAUCCCCGGGACACAAAUAUCUGUUUAGGUAAAAGGCAGGACAGAAAUACAUUUAACAUUUAGUUAUUGUUGGGAAGUUGAAUAACUGUCUUCCUCUUAUGUCUUUACAGUAUAACAUCAUUAUUAAAAAUGCUGUGGAUCUUAAAUUGAGAAAAAGUUUACCAUUAGAGCUUCAAAUUUAUAAGACCAAUCACAGAGAAGCUGAUUCGAUCUUCCUAAAGCCCAUGAAUAAUACCAGGUCUUAACAUUGACAGAAAUAACUUAGAGAAAAAAAAAAUCUAAGUGUUGAUUGACUGUCUAUCCUAUGACGGUUUUCACCCUGUUGGUUGCUAUCGGUCUAAAUAGCCACUUCACCCACUCCAGACCAUAAGCUCCACACAGAUCAUGUCAUUGGAUACUCCAGAAAAUGAAUAUGUCUUGAAGUGCAUGGAGUGUGUGAUUAAGUCCCUGAGUAGGGUACCCAAGGUAGAUAACAACGAUAGGCCCCUCUCUCCUCUUUGAUUCUCUGCAUGGAGGAAAAGAUGGGGUGAAAGUGUACAAAGGUAUGUACAUGUGACAAAGAAGGUGGUAGAAACACAAAUAAUGGCAUACAUUCAAUGCAAUGAUUAGAAUUCUCUACAUGUAAUUCCUUCCGAAAAGCAUUAACAAAGGCUCUUCAAAGCUGAGUCUUUUUAUCAGCCAUAGAACUUUAUAUCCUAUGAGCACCUGGGUUGUUAAAAUGUGUGUGAUAGGAAAGGAAGUGACCCCUGCCAACCUGUGCCUCAAAUAGGCUUGUUUCAUGCUGGGAGAAAACCAUUUGGCCACACACCGAAGAAACGAUGCACCCUUUGAAUCCUUCCCCUGACAGAUGUGGAAGGUAUGAUUUAUCACCCCAGGCCAAGAACUUUUGUGUGACUGGGAUUAUACUAAACAUUCCAGACAUCUCUGCGUCAAGACACAACCUGUGGCUCUACUGCAGGGAUGUGGGGAGAACAGAAAACAUAUGUUUACAGUUACCAAAGUAGCAGUGGAGGGUUGUAGACGACUUGUCAGAGCUAGAAAAGCUGGGCAUGGAGUCUCAGAAACCAAAGGAGGUUGCCUGGCUAGGAUGGGAACAUGCAGGGCCAUGAAAAGCAUGGGGAAAAAAAAAAAAAGCCAUUAAAUGAAAACCAGUCCUUGUGCCCAUAUGAUAGCGUUCCUGCUGGUAGACUUGGCCUCCAGGGCUGUCUUCUGGGCUCUAGGCCCUAAUAGCAGACUGAGGGACAGAUGGGCUGUCAGAGCAAUUCAACCAACUAGGGCCUGUUUCAUGGAGUAGGAAGAGCAAGAACUGGUUUUCUGUCCACCCAUCUCUCCUUUCUUUCCACACAGAACUGAGAAUCAUUUCCCAAAAUGCACAUCUGGUCAUGUUACUCUAUUUUGAAAUCCUUUCCUGGCUUUUCUGUCAGGGUGAAGCCUGGACUGCUGAAUGCAGCCUCUCUGCUCUACACAAUGGGGCUCUACGGACUUCUCCGGUGACCUCGCUUAUCCUUUCCUCUCACCUCCCUGUA